UGCCCAGCAACUUCUAUCCCUACCUCCACGCGGUAUCGGCUGGAAACUAUGAGCAACCUUAGGGAAGA
rfam:Aedes albopictus isolate Foshan contig25453, whole genome shotgun sequence.